CCACUUGAACUCUGCCGAAUUCCUGUGCCACCUCCUCCUUUAGAAAACUGAUCUUAAUACAGAGAUAAAAGAGGAGUAGAAGGUAAAAGAAAAUGCUGGGAACUGACCGUUGUGUUGUGGAAGAAUGGUUAUCAGAAUUCAAGGUAAAUUGGAUUGGAGAUCAGAAUGUAUUAUAUUUUUCUAUACAUCAGUAAUUCAAACUGAAUAUGUGCUCUAUGGAGAAACAUUAUGUGCUCUAUGGAGAAACAUAAAAAUAUGGUAGGAAGUGGAAAUGGCAAAAUACAAAAUAACGUGUUUCUGUAAUUGCAGUUCUUAAAAAUGGUACUAAUAUGAAUAAUGGCUAGAAGGUGAUACAUAAAGAUGAAAAUAGUUGUUAGGAUUGAUGAGACGAUAUUUUAAAAUAUAUUCAGUAAAAGAGAAGAUCCAUCAAGCUUUAAUAAGGCACAAAAAUAGGAUUUAUGCCUACGUUUUUCUGUCCUAUAAUUA
rnacentral:lncRNA from 1 species